AUUGAACGCUGGCGGCAGGCUUAACACAUGCAAGUCGAGCGAGCGGCGGACGGGUGAGUAAUGUUUGGGGACUGCCCGAUAGAGGGGGAUAACUACUGGAAACGGUGGCUAAUACCGCAUACUCUCGGAUAACCCAUAUUGGAUUAGCUAGUAGGGUGGGUAAAUGCUAACCUGGGCGACGAUCUCUAGCUGGUCUGAGAGGAUGAUAAGCCACACUGGGACUGAGACACGGCCCGGACUCCUACGGAGGCAGCAGUGGGGAAUAUUGAGCAAUGGGCGCAAGCUUGAUGCAGCAAUGCCGCGUGUAUGAAGAAGGCCUUAGGGUUGUAAAGUACUUUCAGCGGGGAGGCGUUACCCGCAGAAGAAGCAACGGCUAACUACGUGCCAGCCACCGCGGUAAUAC
rnacentral:rRNA from 1 species